ensembl:lncRNA
GGUAUGGUAGUAGGUGCCUUUGAACAGGGUAUGGUAGUAGGUGCCUUUGAACAGGGUAUGGUGGUAGGUGCCUUUGAACAGGGUAUGGUGGUAGGUGCCUUUGAACAGGGUAUGGUGGUAGGUGCCUUUGAACAGGGUAUGGUGGUAGGUGCCUUUGAACGGGGUAUGGUAGUAGGUGCCUUUGAACAGGGUAUGGUAGUAGGGGCCUUUGAACAGGGUAGUAGGUGCCUUGGAACAGGGUAGUAGGUGCCUUUGAACAGGGUAGUAGGUGCCUUUGAACAGGGUAUGGUAGUAGGUGCUUUUGAACAGGGUAUGGUGGUAGGUGCCUUUGAACAGGGUAUG